CACUUAGAAGAUGGUGAUGCCCUGACUCCU
rnacentral:piRNA from 1 species